AUAAACCUGAUUAGUUGUUGCUGGUUCUCUAGGGGACAUGUGCACACUUGUCAUCUUUAUAUCCCCUGUGCAUUUUUUUGUAGGGUUUUGUUGACCUGAUUUUCCAGCUCUAUGUUCAUAUAUAUAUAUACUCAAUUGUAUGUCACAGAAUGUUUAGUUAUCUAUUUAGACAACUUUCAGCAACGGAUCUCUAGGCUCUCGCAUCGAUGAAGAACGCAGCGAAAUGCGAUAAGUAAUGUGAAUUGCAGAAUUCAGUGAAUCAUCGAAUCUUUGAACGCACCUUGCGCUCCUUGGUAUUCCGAGGAGCAUGCCUGUUUGAGUGUCAUUUAUAUAAUAUCAUCAACCUCUUAGUGUUGGAUUUAUGGGGGGUCAGCUCCCCUCAAAUGCAUAUUAGGUUUCAAUUGGUGUGAUAACUUAUCUACGCUUAUAUUGAACAAUCAUUUAAAAAUGUGACCUCAAAUCAGGUAGGACUACCCGCUGAACUUAAGCAUAUCAAUAAGCGGAGGAAAAGAAACUAACUAGGAUUCCCUUAGUAACUGCGAGUGAACAGGGAAAAGCUCAAAUUUAAAAUCUGGCAGUCUUUUAGCUGUCCGAGUUGUAAUCUAGAGAAGUGUUAUCUGCGCUGGACCGUGUACAAGUCUCCUGGAAUGGAGCAUCAUUGAGGGUGAGAAUCCCGUCUUUGACACGGACUGCCAGGGCUUUGUGAUGCGCUCUCAAAGAGUCGAGUUGUUUGGGAAUGCAGCUCAAAAUGGGUGGUAAAUUCCAUCUAAAGCUAAAUAUUGGCGAGAGACCGAUAGUGAACAAGUACCGUGAGGGAAAGAUGAAAAGAACUUUGGAAAGAGAGUUAAACAGUACGUGAAAUUGCUGAAAGGGAAACGCUUGACGUCAGUCGCGUUGCCCAGGGAUCAUCCCUUGCUUUUGCUUGGUGUACUUUCUGGUUGACGGGCCAGCAUCAAUUUUGAUUAUUGGAAAAAGGUCAAGGGAAUGUGGCAUCUUAGGAUGUGUUAUAGCCCUUGGUUGCAUACAAUAGUCGGGAUUGAGGAACUCAGCACGCGCCGCAAGGCAGGAUUUAUUAUCACAUACGUGCUUAGGAUGCUGGCAUAAUGGCUUUAAUCGACCCGUC
rnacentral:rRNA from 1 species